rnacentral:rRNA from 1 species
GCAGAGCAUCCUACGGGAGGCAGCAGUGGGGAAUAUUGCACAAUGGGCGCAAGCCUGAUGCAGCCAUGCCGCGUGUAUGAAGAAGGCCUUCGGGUUGUAAAGUACUUUCAGCAGUGAGGAAGGUGGGUAUGUUAAUAGCAUAUUCAUUUGACGUUUAGCUGCAGAAGAAGCACCGGCUAACUCCGUGCCAGCAGCCGCGGUAAUACGGAGGGUGCGAGCGUUUAAUCGGAAUUACUGGGCGUAAAAGCGCAUGCAGGUGGUUUGUUAAGUCAGAUGUGAAAGCCCGGGGCUCAACCUCGGAAUUGCAUUUGAAACUGGCAAACUAGAGUACUGUAGAGGGGGUAGAAUUUCAGGUGUAGCGGUGAAAUGCGUAGAGAUCUGAAGGAAUACCGGUGGCGAAGGCGGCCCCCUGGACAGAUACUGACACUCAGAUGCGAAAGCGUGGGGAGCAAACAGGAUUAGAUACCCUGGUAG